rnacentral:rRNA from 1 species
GCCUACGGGGGGCAGCAGUAGGGAAUCUUCCACAAUGGGCGAAAGCCUGAUGGAGCAACGCCGCGUGGGUGAAGAAGGUCUUCGGAUCGUAAAACCCUGUUGUUAGAGAAGAAAGUGCGUGAGAGUAACUGUUCACGUUUCGACGGUAUCUAACCAGAAAGCCACGGCUAACUACGUGCCAGCAGCCGCGGUAAUACGUAGGUGGCAAGCGUUAUCCGGAUUUAUUGGGCGUAAAGGGAACGCAGGCGGUCUUUUAAGUCUGAUGUGAAAGCCCUCGGCUUAACCGGAGGAGUGCAUUGGAAACU